rnacentral:lncRNA from 1 species
GGCAUUCACUGCAUAUCCUCUUAGAGGGGCUGCAUGCUGUGUUACUGGAAAUAAGUUAUCACUGCUUUUAGAGACACAAAAUAAGCUGCUAGACUGAUGUCCGAUGAUGCCCAAUGGGUCUUACAUGGCUUCCUAAAGGAAGAUAGGGUUCCUUCUUCCACUCCCUGGUAGAUGGCAAAAGGACAAAGACAGCAAACCAGUGUGAGCGUAAUCACUUAGAGGAAUGCAUGCAGCUCUCACCUGGAAGAGGACGGGAAGGACAGUUUGGCCCAAGGGACAAACCCAGACUCACCACAUUACAGCAGUGGCAAAUACAGUGUCCUAUUAACAGCACUCUAGAAAGAAUAGGAAGAUUUGUCUUCCAUACAUGUUCAGAGCAUUUCCAGGGACUAUCAUCAAGAAUACAGCCCUUAAAUUGUAAGCGUGUUGCCAUAUGG